AAACCAGCACCUCAAGUGGUCAGGAUGAUUAUUGGGCCUAAAGCAUCCGUAGCCUGCUCUGUAAGUUUUCGGUUAAAUCUGUACGCUCAACGUACAGGCCGCCGGGAAUACUGCAGAGCUAGGGAGUGGGAGAGGUAGACGGUACUCGGGAGGAAGUGGUAAAAUGCUUUGAUCUCUCGAUGACCACCUGUGGCGAAGGCGGUCUACCAGAACACGUCCGACGGUGAGGGAUGAAAGCUGGGGGAGCAAACCGGAUUAGAAACCCGGGUAGUCC
rnacentral:rRNA from 1 species